CGUGCAGGCGGUUUGGCAAGUCAGAUGUGAAAGCCCUGGGCUUAACCCGGGAAGUGCAUUUGAAACUGCCUUUCUUGAGUAUGGGAGAGGAGAGUGGAAUUCCCAGUGUAGAGGUGAAAUUCGUAGAUAUUGGGAGGAACACCCGUGGCGAAGGCGACUCUCUGGACCAAUACUGACGCUGAGACGCGAAAGCGUGGGGAGCAAACA
rnacentral:rRNA from 1 species